CAGUCGCCGCGGGAAUACGGAGGGUGCAAGCGUUAAUCGGAAUUACUGGGCGUAAAGCGCGCGUAGGUGGUUCGCCAAGUUGGAUGUGAAAUCCCCGGGCUCAACCUGGGAACUGCAUCCAAAACUGGCGAGCUAGAGUAUGGUAGAGGGUGGUGGAAUUUCCUGUGUAGCGGUGAAAUGCGUAGAUAUAGGAAGGAACAUCAGUGGCGAAGGCGACCACCUGGACUGAUACUGACACUGAGGUGCGAAAGCGUGGGGAGCAAACAGGAUUAGAUACCCCGGUAGUCCCUGUCUCUUAUAA
rnacentral:rRNA from 1 species